AUUAAUCGUUUUAUUUUAUUUUUUGUAAUUAUGAUGCAAUAUUAGAAUUCAAAAAUUUUUAACUAUGGAACGACCAAGUGCAUCCUAGAGUGUGAAAAAAAGAGCAUUGGAGGAAGAUGAUGGUAUUGGAGGGAGGAAAUAUAAAUUUAAAAUUCUACUGCCAAAUGGGGCUAGUGUAGAAUUAACUCUAUGGGACCCCAUCCUCUGAAUGUCCUUUCGACUUCAUUAAGUUGGUGAAAGGUGAGUAUUUUCGGGCUUGGCAAGAAUGCAAAUCAAUGAGUCAGAAAAGAACGGUAAAUUGGAAAAAUGAAGGGUUGUACCUUGAAGAUGCCUACAAGAAUAAGAUACGAAACAUAAUGGACUUUGGGAAGUUCAAGCCACAUAGGUACCAUAUUUUACGGCUAGAUAGCAUGUGGGAUUUGAUGCCGGAUACUGAUCCAUUAAUGGAGUGGCCAGAAGAAUACACUUUUGAAACUGUGCUUGCAGAUUUGAUUGAUAAUUCCAUGCAAGCCAUAUCGACCAAUGGUGAAAAUGAUAGGAGAUUAAUUAGUGUGCAUAUUGUGGAGGAUAGGGUAUCAAUUUUUGACAUUGGCCCAGGAAUAGAUAGCAGUGAAGAAAACUCUGUAGUUAAGUGGGAAAAGACGAGUGCUUCACUUAACAGGACUUCUUGAGAACAUGGUGUAGAAGGCAAACCUCCAUACUUAAAGGCGUGCUCUAGUUUUUUCAAAGACAAAAGUAUCUAAUAAAGUCUUUACAUUGCAUCUUGAGAGAGAAGCUCUACUAAAGUGCUCAGAUUCUGAGCUUACUUGACUGAUGGUGGAGUUAGGGUUCCUUCAGAAGAUGAAAGCACAGAAUUACCUCAUGGAAGUUUUGCAAAGGUAGUUGACUGCAAGAUACGGAGGUUGUGCUGGGUAAGUAUCUAAGACGGGGAAGACCACAACACCAAUUGGGCUCCAGGUUUAACUUGUUACUAUUAUUUUACCGGCUGAAUUUCUUCCAAAUACUUCAAGUGAUUGGUAUACAUACACAAAGUACUGGGGAUUUUUUGUAGCAAAUUAUACAAGUCAUGAGAAGGAAUUACAGAAGUCAUGGAGAUUGGAAUGCAGGUUACUGGUGUUGACUUAGUUGAAAUUGCAGGUGGGGAGGUUGCAAUAACGUCCUAAGUUUGUUUUACAGCUUCACUUUUCCCUUAAACUUGGUUGUUCUACAGCCAAAAGUCCUAGUAGCAAUUGCAGUUCUUUUGUCAUGAUUUUCAAUGGCAUAUCAAUUGUCAACAAAAUGCAAUCUUUGGUAGAUUUUAAUAUCUUAAGAACAUGGACAUCUCAAGAAGCAAAUGCACGCUUAAAAUGUGUUUAUUUUCUAGUUACGGAGGCAUGUGCCAUA